CUUGACUGGUUUCCCACUGACGCUAAGCAGGGUUGAGUCUGGACAGUACUUGGAUGGGAGACCUCCUGGGGAAAACUAAGGUUGCUGUCGGAA
rnacentral:rRNA from 1 species